rnacentral:rRNA from 1 species
CUAUGCGCCUUGCCAGCCCGCUCAGGUGUGCCAGCAGCCGCGGUAAUACGGAGGAUGCGAGCGUUAUCCGGAUUUAUGGGUUUAAAGGGUGCGUAGGCGGGCUGUUAAGUCAGCGGUCAAAUGUCGGGGCUCAACCCCGGCCUGCCGUUGAAACUGGCGGCCUCGAGUGGGCGAGAAGUAUGCGGAAUGCGUGGUGUAGCGGUGAAAUGCAUAGAUAUCACGCAGAACUCCGAUUGCGAAGGCAGCAUACCGGCGCCCUACUGACGCUGAGGCACGAAAGCGUGGGUAUCGAACAGG